rnacentral:rRNA from 1 species
UACAGAGGUGGCAAGCGUUGCUCGGUAUCACUGGGCUUAAAGGGCGCGUAGGCGGUGCGGUACGGUUUCGGUGAAAUCCCUCGGCCCAACCGAGGAACAGCCGGAGCUACGGCCGGACUAGACGGCAUCAGGGGACAGUGGAACUCCCGGUGGAGCGGUGAAAUGCGUAGAUAUCGGGAGGAACGCCGGUGGCGAAAGCGACUUCCUGGACCAGUACCGACGUUCAGGCACGAAAGCGUGGGGAGCAAACAGG